ACUGUCUCAGUACAAUAAUAAAAAAGAUACAACUCUUAGCGGUGGAUAUCUCGGUUCUCGCAUCGAUGAAGAACGCCACA
rnacentral:rRNA from 1 species